AGGAAAAGAAACUAACAAGGAUUCCCCUAGUAACGGCGAGUGAAGCGGGAAGAGCUCAAAUUUAAAAUCUGGCGGUGCAUUCCGUCCGAGUUGUAGUCUAGAGAAGCGUCAUUCCGUACGCUGGACCAUGUACAAGUCUCUUGGAACAGACGGUCAUAGAGGGUGAGAAUCCCGUCCUUGACAUGGACUCCCGGGUGUUCUGUGUUGCUCUCAACGAGUCGAGUUGUUUGGGAAUGCAGCUCAAAACGGGUGGUAAAUUCCAUCUAAAGCUAAAUAUUGGCGAAAGACCGAUAGCGAACAAGUACCGUGAGGGAAAGAUGAAAAGCACUUUGGAGAGAGAGUUAAACAGUACGUGAAAUUGUUGAAAUGGAAACGCUUGAAGUCAGUCGCGUUCUCUGGGAUUCAGCCUUGCUUUCUGCUUGGUGCAUUUCCUAGUUCUACGGGCCAGCAUGGAUUUCGGGCCGGAUGGUAAAAAGGGCUUGGGGGAAUGUGGCACCUUCCGGGUGUGUUAUAGCCCCCUUGUCACACGCGUCGGUUCGGAUCGAGGACCUCAGUGCACGCUUCGGUUGUGCUUUGAUGCUGGCGUAAU
rnacentral:rRNA from 1 species